CGGAACAGAAGUUUUUUCAACCUGCAGGAGGAAGCUGCUGGCAUGGCAUACCCUGGCUUACUGUGGGUAAUCGUGUUCUCCACCUGUCUCGAAUCCAGCAUGACCCAGACAGUCUCUCAGUCUCAACCAGAGAUGUCUGUGCAGGAGGCAGAGACCGUGACCCUGAAUUGCAUAUAUGACACGAGUGACAGUAAUUAUUAUUUGUUCUGGUACAAACAGCCUCCCAGCAGGCAGAUGAUUCCCAUUAUUCGCCAAGAAGCUUAUAAGCAACAGAAUGCAACAGAGAAUCGCUUCUCUGUGAACUUCCAGAGAGCAGCCAAAUCCUUCAGUCUCAAGAUCUCAGAGUCACAGCUAGGGGAUGCCGCGAUAUACUUCUGUGCUUAUUUGAGCACACAGUGAGAGGAGCAACAGGGAGAGGCUUACAGAAACCUCAGACCUCAGCAUCUGUGCAAAGAUAUAGAGGGAGUGUUCAGAGUCACAGGAACACAGAGAAAAUCAUUGUUUUCUUGGGAGGAAAAAAAAAGUUGUAUCUAACUAUAGGAAACACAGAGAGGAUGUCUAUAUGCUGUAAUUCUCAAAAUAAUAAUUUUUUAAAAAUGAAU